GGGGGUAUGGUGGAAUUGGCAGACACGUUAGAUUUAGGAUCUAAUGCCGAAAGGCGUGCAGGUUCGAGUCCUGUUACCCCUA
rnacentral:tRNA from 1 species